GAUUUUCCACUUUAUAUGUAUAUACUUGUUUACAAAAGAAAAUGACGUAUCUAAAAGAAUAUCGAGUCGACUAUUUAUUUAUAAUAACAAAUUCGGUUUAUACAUUCAUCUUUUUAUCGAUUCCGUGUUUAUUCUAUCCCUCCCCACUGUCAAGUACAAAAAAUAGCCAUAACGAAAAAAAAACACACAUAAAUAUAUACAAAUGGACACGCUUAUAUAUAUAUAUAUAUAUAUAUAUAUAUAUUAACGCAUGUACUCACCAUUUUAUUUUUUUUUUUUUUACUUAAUUUUUUUUUUUUUUUUUUUUUUUUUUAGGUUUGUUUUUUCAUUCAUUUUUUUUUUAGCUUACAUAAGCAUUAGUAUGAUAUUAGUUUGGUUAAUAAAUUACCAAUACAGACGUAGUGAGCCUGAAAUUUAUUACAUAUACAUGUUAGGUGUGCUAUUAUUAAUGUUUUUCGUGUUAAGACAUUUAUUAGAAGUAAGAAAUCGUGUUUUGGUAUUUAUGAUUAAAGAAAUAUUAUCCAAUAAUUAUCGUACAUUGUCUGAUUAUAAUGGGUAUUAUAAGGACGAAGCUGAAUCAAUAGCUGUUGAUAUUACAAACAAUGAAUAUAAUGAAAAACAAAACAAUGGUACUAUUAAUAAUAAUAGAAAGAAUAAUAACAAUACUAAUACCAAUAGUAAUAAUAAAAACAGUAAUAGUAAUAAUAAGUUAUUAUUUUCGAAUAAAUGUGCAUUUUUUAAUGAUUUUAUAAUUAACGAUUGUUAUAAAGAUUAUUAUUAUAUGUCAUGUUUUUUAAAAAAGUUAUUAGCUAACUGUAUUGAUACUAAGGAUAUGUAUGAUAGUGAGAAAAAAGAAGAGAAUGAAAAUGAAAAUGAAAACAAACAUAAAAUAUUUGAUAAUGCACAAACACGUUUAGAAGAGGCAGAUAUAUUGACAAUAGCAUAUGAAGCAACUGUAUUAAAAAAUAUUAAAAAAAUAAAUUCAGAAGAAAUAGGAAAAAAUUGGAAUUAUUCUUUUAUAGAUUCAGAAUAUGGUAAAUCUACUUUAGUAAUACUUGAAGUUGGUUAUCAUUUAAUUCAACCAUAUAUAGAAAAU
rnacentral:lncRNA from 1 species